UUGUUUCAGAACGCUCUGGCUUUAAAUGCGUUUCUUCCUGCCUCACUCGGUGCCAAACAGCUCCAGUAGAGAGGCUGCGUGAUUCUCCUUUAUUUUGUUUGUAGUACAUUUUUUUCAAGAUGGAAAAAGGAUACCCACCACAGCAACAAGCUCCACCUUACCCUGGGCCGCCUAUGAACUAUGGCGGUGCAAUGCCACAGCCAGGGCAGUACGCUCAGCCGGGCUACACCGCAGCACCCCCACCCAUGUACCAGGGAGAUGUUGCCUAUGCUCAAGCCACUGCUGUUCCUGCCACAACAGGUGAGACCAAGCACAAUAUGUCCUAUCU